GCGGCGCGCCUAACACAUGCAAGUCGAACGAGCGAGAGAGAGCUUGCUUUCUCGAGCGAGUGGCGAACGGGUGAGUAACGCGUGAGGAAUCUGCCUCAAAGAGGGGGACAACAGUUGGAAACGACUGCUAAUACCGCAUAAGCCCACGGUGCCGCAUGGCACAGAGGGAAAAGGAGUAAUCCGCUUUGAGAUGGCCUCGCGUCCGAUUAGCUAGUUGGUGAGGUAACGGCCCACCAAGGCGACGAUCGGUAGCCGGACUGAGAGGUUGAACGGCCACAUUGGGACUGAGACACGGCCCAGACUCCUACGGGAGGCAGCAGUGGGGAAUAUUGCACAAUGGGGGAAACCCUGAUGCAGCGACGCCGCGUGGAGGAAGAAGGUCUUCGGAUUGUAAACUCCUGUUGUUGGGGAAGAUAAUGACGGUACCCAACAAGGAAGUGACGGCUAACUACGUGCCAGCAGCCGCGGUAAAACGUAGGUCACAAGCGUUGUCCGGAAUUACUGGGUGUAAAGGGAGCGCAGGCGGGAAGACAAGUUGGAAGUGAAAUCUAUGGGCUCAACCCAUAAACUGCUUUCAAAACUGUUUUUCUUGAGUAGUGCAGAGGUAGGCGGAAUUCCCGGUGUAGCGGUGGAAUGCGUAGAUAUCGGGAGGAACACCAGUGGCGAAGGCGGCCUACUGGGCACCAACUGACGCUGAGGCUCGAAAGUGUGGGUAGCAAACAGGAUUAGAUACCCUGGUAGUCCACACCGUAAACGAUGAUUACUAGGUGUUGGAGGGUUGACCCCUUCAGUGCCGCAGUUAACACAAUAAGUAAUCCACCUGGGGAGUACGACCGCAAGGUUGAAACUCAAAGGAAUUGACGGGGGCCCGCACAAGCAGUGGAGUAUGUGGUUUAAUUCGACGCAACGCGAAGAACCUUACCAAGUCUUGACAUCCCUUGACAGACAUAGAAAUAUGUAAUCUCUUCGGAGCAAGGAGACAGGUGGUGCAUGGUUGUCGUCAGCUCGUGUCGUGAGAUGUUGGGUUAAGUCCCGCAACGAGCGCAACCCUUAUGGUCAGUUACUACGCAAGAGGACUCUGGCCAGACUGCCGUUGACAAAACGGAGGAAGGUGGGGAUGACGUCAAAUCAUCAUGCCCUUUAUGACUUGGGCUACACACGUACUACAAUGGCGUUAAACAAAGAGAAGCAAGACCGCGAGGUGGAGCAAAACUCAGAAACAACGUCCCAGUUCGGACUGCAGGCUGCAACUCGCCUGCACGAAGUCGGAAUUGCUAGUAAUCGUGGAUCAGCAUGCCACGGUGAAUACGUUCCCGGGCCUUGCC
rnacentral:rRNA from 1 species